GGGGGUGAAUUUUGGUUUCGACGGGAUUAAAGAGACUUAGAAUUGCAUACCGUGUUCCCCAAAGACACGUUAAAGAAUUGGGAAAAAAUAAUAACUGGCGAAAAUAAUUACGCCUUAGCUGCUUAAUUAAUAAUUAACAGCCGUUCACCUUAUCCUCUUGUAUCGGGCUAAGACUGAACGCCGUUUAGAUACAAUAGCCGAUUCUGUUGCUUGUGCAGAUGAAGCGAAUUUUUAGCAGGCAGGUUUAAAGUGAUCUCAGUCUGGCGAGUAACUUUAAGCUAAAAUAAAAGACAGACUAUGUAUGUAGAAGUUCUUUGGAUCUUAGUUUCGGACGCGGGUUCGACUCCCGCCACCUCCACUG
rnacentral:tmRNA from 1 species